UACGUAGGGUGCAAGCGUUAAUCGGAAUUACUGGGCGUAAAGCGUGCGCAGGCGGCUUUGCAAGACAGAUGUGAAAUCCCCGGGCUCAACCUGGGAACUGCAUUUGUGACUGCAUGGCUAGAGUACGGUAGAGGGGGAUGGAAUUCCGCGUGUAGCAGUGAAAUGCGUAGAUAUGUGGAGGAACACCGAUGGCGAAGGCAGCCCUCCGGU
rnacentral:rRNA from 1 species